rnacentral:lncRNA from 10 species
GAUUAUAUUAAGCAGUGAGAGAAGACAGAUGGAGUUUUGUAGAAAGAGAGCUGGUUGUUUUAAAUUGUAUCUUAAAUUUAUUGUAGAGCUAUUGGUAAUUAGUGUUUUGUUGUUGUGUGUUUAUACCAACCAAUUAAUAAGAAAGGCUUUUAUUUUUAUUUCAUCAGUUGGAGCUGAACUUUAUUUUUUAUUAUAAAUAUAAGGCAUUAUUCUAGGGCCUGGCAAACAUAGGCAGCCACUUUUUUUUUCUGGGGAAGAUUAUACCUUGGUAUGUUUUCACCACUGUGAGAUGAAAAUUUGAGAACAGUGAGAGACAGAUGCUUGCCUGAGGAGUUUUAUUUUCCCUUUAAUCCUUAUCAAAUAUCCAGAUAUUACCUAUAUUGCCUUGAUCUGCUGUCUGAAGGAGAGCCAUGCUGCCUUGCUGCUUCUUGCUCGUGUACACAGAGCACUUGGUGUCUUGCGAAUC